rnacentral:snoRNA from 1 species
AAUUCAUAGUGUGGACAUUGCAAUAGAAGUGAUUUGAACCGAUUCCAUGCUUCAUGAAAAGAUUCAGCAUUCUCUUGAUAAAAAUUAGAAAUUUCAUCUCUUAAUUC